CAAAACUUAUGAUUGUCAAUGCCCGAUCUUGUCAGUCCUCAGAAGCUAAGCAAGGCCAGGUCUGGUUAGUACUUGGAUGGGAGACCAUAUGGGAAUACCAGAUG
rnacentral:rRNA from 1 species